rnacentral:rRNA from 1 species
GGUUGAUCCUGCCAGUAUUAUAUGCUUGUUUCGAAGAUUAAGCCAUGCAUGUCCAAGUAUAAACACCUUUAUACUGCGAAACUGCGAACAGCUCAUUACAUCAGUUAUAAUUCCUUUGAAAGUUCACCUACUACAUGGAUACCUGUGGUAAUUCCAAAGCUAAUACAUGCGUAAGAUCUUGACUGGCUUGGUAUCAGCAAUGGUAUCAUAGUCUGGAAGAGAUGAGUUUAUUAGUUUCAGACCCACUCGGUACUCGGCAGCAAUGUUGGGUACCGUUUGUUGGUGAGUCAUGG